GCUUCGCGGAAGCCGCUGCUCUGGCUUUUUAAAAGGAUGGGGUCUAGAAGUUUCCUUUGCUACUCGCAAGUCUCCACUCCCCCCAGCCCCGCGAUGGAUAAUCCUGGACCUUUCAGCUCCCCCCCACCCCUUUCUUUUGCUCUCGCUGACUCUAAGAGGUUGAGUUGCAGGUUGGCUACAUUUUGUAUGUUUGGAAACGUACAAAGUGCUCUGAAUUUCAUGAAAUAUUUUGAGGCAAAGUUGGACCCGGAAUGUCCCCAAAUAUGGUAGAGCAAAUAGCACAUCUGCCAGAGAAAGAUCCUACACUUUAUAAAGAGAAGAAGCAGACAACUUCCUGGUGAAUUUAGGACUGCUUGAUGGUGUUGAAAUUGUAUUUGUUGAGUUAAUGAAACCAUUAGAGCCAUUCUUCCAGAUCUGGCCAGCUAAGUUAAAAAAAAAAACAAAAAAUAAAAGGAGACAAA
rnacentral:sRNA from 1 species